UAAAGUGCUGACAGUGCAUGCC
rnacentral:miRNA from 1 species